rnacentral:misc_RNA from 1 species
GAUGAAGAACGCAGCGAAAUGCGAUAAGUAAUGUGAAUUGCAGAAUUCAGUGAAUCAUCGAAUCUUUGAACGCACCUUGCACCCUUUGGCAUUCUGAAGGGUAUGCUCGUUUGAGUGUCAUUGUACUCUCACACUCCCGAUCUUUGCAUUGGGAGCAGUGGACUUGGGUUUGCUGCUUCACCGUCGCUUACCUCAAAUAGGUUAGUGCAACUCUUGGUUGGACAUAGUACGGCGUGAUAAGUGUUCUUCGCCGGUGCCUCGCAAAGAGGGUGGCCGAUCGGGAUGUUGUGCUCCAAACCGUCUUCGGACAAUCUCUGACGACUUGACCUCAAAUCGAGUAAGACUACCCGCUGAACUUAAGCAUAUUCAAUAAGCGGAGGA